UACAUAGAGACCAGUCUAUUGAUUAGGGUCUGCAGCAGCUUGACCGUUGAUACUGGAACUAUCACCUCCUCCGCUCGUUGAGACAGUGGUACUUCCUUGAUACACGGGAGGUGGUGCAAACAUUGGAGGGCCACCGGUAGAAGCAGGCAUUCCCAUACUUCCUGAAGUAGGCAUUCCCAUACUUCCUGGAACUGCACUUGGUGGACCGACAGGCCUUUGCAUAUUAUUGACUUGACCACCGGGCAUAGGAGCACCGGGAGGUGCCA
rnacentral:lncRNA from 1 species